rnacentral:rRNA from 1 species
UAAUACGAAGGUGGCAAGCGUUGUUCGGAUUUACUGGGCGUACAGGGAGCGUAGGCGGUUGGGUAAGCCCUCCGUGAAAUCUCCGGGCCUAACCCGGAAAGUGCGGAGGGGACUGCUCGGCUAGAGGAUGGGAGAGGAGCGCGGAAUUCCCGGUGUAGCGGUGAAAUGCGUAGAGAUCGGGAGGAAGGCCGGUGGCGAAGGCGGCGCUCUGGAACAUUUCUGACGCUGAGGCUCGAAAGCGUGGGGAGCAAACAGGAUUAGAUACCCUGGUAGUCCACGCCUUAAACUAUGAAUACUAAGUGUCGGCGGGUUACCGCCGGUGCCGCAGCUAACGCAGUAAGUAUUCCGCCUGGGAAGUACGGCCGCAAGGUUGAAACUUAAAGGAAUUGACGG